UACAGAGGGUGCAAGCGUUAAUCGGAAUUACUGGGCGUAAAGCGUGCGCAGUCGGUUAUUUAAGUCGGAUGUGAAAUCCCCGGGCUCAACCUGGGAAUUGCAUUCGAUACUGGAUAGCUAGAGUUCGGCAGAGGGAAGUGGAAUUUCAGGUGUAGCGGUGAAAUGCGUAGAUAUCUGAAGGAACAUCAGUGGCGAAAGCGACUUCCUGGACCAGAACUGACGAUCAGGCACGAAAGCGUGGGGAGCAAACAGG
rnacentral:rRNA from 1 species